rnacentral:rRNA from 1 species
AGUGAACGCUGGCGGCAGGCCUAACACAUGCAAGUCGAACGGCAGCACAGUAAGAGCUUGCUCUUACGGGUGGCGAGUGGCGGACGGGUGAGGAAUACAUCGGAAUCUACUUUUUCGUGGGGGAUAACGUAGGGAAACUUACGCUAAUACCGCAUACGACCUGCGGGUGAAAGCAGGGGAUCUUCGGACCUUGCGCGAUUGAAUGAGCCGAUGUCGGAUUAGCUAGUUGGCGGGGUAAAGGCCCACCAAGGCGACGAUCCGUAGCUGGUCUGAGAGGAUGAUCGGCCACACUGGAACUGAGACACGGUCCAGACUCCUACGGGAGGCAGCAGUGGGGAAUAUUAGGCAAUGGGCGAAAGCCUGAUCCAGCCAUACCGCGUGAGUGAAGAAGGCCUUCGGGUUGUAAAGCCCUUUUGUUGGGAAAGAAAAGCAGCAGGUUAAUACCCCGCUGUUCUGACGGUACCCAAAGAAUAAGCACCGGCUAACUUCGUG